CCUACGGGAGGCAGCAGUGAGGAAUAUUGGUCAAUGGGCGCUAGCCUGAACCAGCCAAGUAGCGUGAAGGAUGACUGCCCUAUGGGUUGUAAACUUCUUUUAUAAGGGAAUAAAACGAAUUAUGUGUACUGUUUUGCAUGUACUUUAUGAAUAAGGAUCGGCUAACUCCGUGCCAGCAGCCGCGGUAAUACGGAGGAUCCGAGCGUUAUCCGGAUUUAUUGGGUUUAAAGGGAGCGUAGGCGGGUUGUUAAGUCAGUUGUGAAAGUUUGCGGCUCAACCGUAAAAUUGCAAUUGAUACUGGCAGUCUUGAGUACAGUAGAGGUAAGCGGAAUUCGUGGUGUAGCGGUGAAAUGCUUAGAUAUCACGAAGAACUCCGAUUGCGAAGGCAGCUUGCUGGACUGUAACUGACAUUGAUGCUCGAAAGUGUGGGUAUCAAACAGGAUUAGAUACCCCUGUAGUC
rnacentral:rRNA from 1 species